CCUACGGGGGGCUGCAGUGGGGAAUAUUGGACAAUGGGGGCAACCCUGAUCCAGCCAUGCCGCGUGUGUGAAGAAGGCCCUCGGGUUGUAAAGCACUUUCAGUGAGGAAGAACGCCUGGUGGUUAAUACCCAUCAGGAAAGACAUCACUCACAGAAGAAGCACCGGCUAACUCCGUGCCAGCAGCCGCGGUAAUACGGAGGGUGCGAGCGUUAAUCGGAAUUACUGGGCGUAAAGCGCGCGUAGGUGGCUUGAUAAGCCGGUUGUGAAAGCCCCGGGCUCAACCUGGGAACGGCAUCCGGAACUGUCAAGCUAGAGUGCAGGAGAGGAAGGUAGAAUUCCCGGUGUAGCGGUGAAAUGCGUAGAGAUCGGGAGGAAUACCAGUGGCGAAGGCGGCCUUCUGGACUGACACUGACACUGAGGUGCGAACGCGUGGGUAGCAAACAGGAUUAGAUACCCUAGUAGUC
rnacentral:rRNA from 1 species